UUAUUGUCUGUAGACUCUGUUGUUCUCUCUGCCCUCUAAUCCCAACUGCACUGUUUCACUAAAAUGUUAUUUUUUCAUUUAUUUUUAUUAUGUCUUUGAAUGAUAUGUCUCUACUUAGAUUUAUUGAUCGAAGGUGACCUUGAGUGCCAAGAAAGGAGCCUAAAAAUAAAAUUUAUUAUUAUUAAUAUUAUAACAGUUCGACCUAAUUUAUUCACAAAAUUACUCGACACAACUUUGAUUUUCUUGUUCAUAAGUGCUCACAAGUCAAGUACAAGGAUUGAGGUUUGAAAGCUGUAGUUAUAAUUUUAGCCUUUCAAAUAUAAAAUCAGACUUGAGCUCAGAGUAAAGGGAGAACCUGCUUGUCUCUGUUUACCCUGCUCAGAUUACAAAGGUCACUGCAGCUCAGACUUUGCAGAACAGUCAUGAGACAAAAAACAAGCUAUUGUCUGUUUAAUCAAACCUUUUUGAAAUGUUCGGAGUGAAUAUAACAUGAUGCAUGGUCAAAAAUAAAUUGUGGUCUACUUCACUAAGCUUCUCAACCUCAAUCUAUGAAGUCAAUUACAAAAAUGUUUUAUUAAUCCCCCAUGAUUGCUUAAUGUCAUAUUGUUCAAUUUCGUUCAAAGACAUUUUGUAGAUGAUUGUGGCUGUGGGCAGGAAGGCUCUCCUGUAGAGGCUUGUGUUACAGCGCACCUGGAAAGGCCUCUAACUGAAGACCGGGUUGGUCCUGAAAGGUGCUUGCUAUGUUUCCCUGCCAAGUCAACAGGAGUCACUCCAGGACCCUGAUGAUUGGGGAUGUUAAUGUAACAGGUCUACAGUCAUUCUAUUGUCAUUCUUUGGUAUUGAACCAAGGCAGGAUGAUGUCUUCCACGGUUCUAGACAUGUUGGCUGAAGGGCUCCGAUUGGUCAGGCUUCCAAAAAGUCCAUAUAAACUUACGGCUCUGCCAAUAUUGGAGGGACCCUCGUCCCCAGAAGAAGACCCACAGAGUCCAUGUCCACAUCUGGCUCCCAGGAAGACCCAUGACUGACUGUGACGAUUCUCUCAAUCACUACCUAUUAAAUAGCUGCAGAUAACAGAGACUCCACCCAGCUUCACUCUUACAGCACAAAACUCCUACACAACAAACACACUUGCUUUGAUCAUCAGUCAAGCUACAAUAACGGAAUUUCAACAUAAUUUCUGCACACAUCAAAACCACUCAACACAACUUAGUAGGAGUCAAAUCAGGGAUUCAAAGUUAUAAAAAAAUGUAGUUAAUUGUAGCCUUUCAAAUAGAAAAUAAGGGAGGAUCAGUCAUCAUCUGCUCAAUCAAUCAAGUUUAUUUGUGUUGCACAUUUUAGCAACACUGCAGUUCAAAGUGCUUUACAAAACAAAAAACAUUAUGAACACAUUACAUAGUCAACAUUUAUUGAACAGUGUUUACUGUGCUCAGAGAUUACAAAGGUCACUUCAGAUCAGACUGUGUGCAGAACUAUCAUGAGACAAAAAACAAGAUACUGACUAUUUGAUCAAACCUUUUUGAAAUGUUCUCUUUUUUAACCAAUUUUAAUCAAUUAGACGGUUCUGUGAAUCUGUGAAUCUGACAUGUUUGAUAACAUAUUGUGAUCUACUUUCACUAACCUCUUCAGCUGCACUGUAUCAAGUCAAUUCUAAUCAAAAAUACUUCAUUAAUCCCACAGGACUAUUAAAUGCUGCUGUAACUCAUCUUUUAAAUAGAAUAUCAAUGAUUCUUGAGAUUAUAGGGACAAAAUAGGCUAAAAUUUUGCAAAACAAUUUUUAAAUAAAAUAAAGAAGGAAUUAUUCCUCAAGCCUAUGUAUUCAAAUAUGAUAAACAAUAGAAAUGUAAAGAUGAUAAGGUGCAGGCUCCCAGUUGCAACAUUUCUUUUUGAAAAUUACAUUUUUAAUAGACGUAAAAUAUAGGUCCAUUAAAAUAUAAUAUAAAAUUAUUUUUAAUGACCCUAAUAGUGACAUUUUUACUCGGUAUUACAGACAAAUGCUUCUCAAGAAACAAAAUAAAUUUUAUUUAACAAACAAAAAACAACAUAAAGUCCAUCUGACGGAGACAGAGUUGACGAAGAACUGAAGGUGGUGACAAACUAGUGAGUAAAAAGAAAAACUUGAUACAUGUGAAGUAAUGCCAUUCAUGUAAAAUACAUUAAAAUGAAUUAACUGCACACUUAAGUGAGAUUUGUCAACAAAUAGAAACAGAACAAAUAGACUUUUCUCUUUUGUCUAGUAUAUGUCUUGAUUGAUUGUCAAAGUGCUAAACAGAGUUGCACUAAUAACUUCAUUCUAUUGUUAUAAUACUAUUCAAUGACAAAUUUAAUCUAAUAUAGAAACCUUCAGGGAUUGAGUUUUGAUGGAUAAUCGUUAGCAUCCAAACAUUUUGUCACUAGUUUCAACUUGAAGUGGAAUAAAGCCCUGGACUCCAGAGCAGCAAAGUCAUGUUAUCUGACUGUACAAUACAAUGAUGAUUCCAGGUUUGCCAGCUGCCUGGAGAACAGGACCUGUUUGACUGCAUUGUGUCAAGUGUAAAGGUUGAUAGUGUGGGCUGGUUUUCCCUGAUAUGCUGAAGUGCAGAGUCCUGGUAAAGCAGUGUUUCUCAAUUUGGGUCAUCAGGGUCCUCUGCCCUGCAUGUUUUAGGUGUUUCCCUUCAGCCACACACCUGGAUAAAAUCUGUGGGUGAUUAACAGGCUUCUGCAGUACUUGAUGACUGCAGAAGAGAUCAUGCAAUCAUUUGGAUCAGCUGUUCUGAAAUAGAGACACAUCUAAAACAUGCAGAGCAGGGGGGUUGAGGACUGGAAUUGAGAAGCACUGUGGUAAAGGAACUCAGCACUUCUGGUUAUCAAGAUGUUUUGGAUAGUAAGCGGAGAACAUCGCCAAUACAAGAGGUUUCAUGUCGCCCCUAAAAAGAUAACGCCCUGGGUGGUUGCGCCUAUGGCCAAUGUCAGAUACCACCACUGUCUGCGCCAUGAAACAGCAAUCAUGACACUGACGGGCCUGGUGAAUCUGAGCAGGAAGCGAACAACACCGACCUGAACUGAGGCACAUCCAGUCCCCUUCACCUCCAGGCUGUACUUUCCUGCCUCACCCUGCAGAAUCUUCUCCUGGUAGAGCAGCUUGUUGUCUGGGGUC